GAUGAAGAACGUAGCGAAAUGCGAUAAUUAAUGUGAAUUGCAGAAUUCCGUGAAUCAUCGAGCCUUUGAACGCACAUUGCGCCUCAUGGCAUUCCGUGAGGCAUGCCCAUCUCAGCGUUAGAAAAUAUUCUCAAAUUUUAGUUUUGUGCUAAAAUUUGGAUCAUGACAAAGAAGCUAUUACUAUUAUUGUGAUCGCUCUUUGGAAAUUGAUAGGUCUUUGAGUUGCUACUCAUAGAACGUGAUGAAUCUUUCUUCGUUCUAUUGUAAUUCACUCUGGUAGUCCUAAAACUUGUAUGCCUGUGGCAUAUCUUGUAAUUUGACCUGAGAUUGGGUAGGGAUACCCGCUGAACUUAAGCAUAUCAAUAAGCGGAGGA
rnacentral:misc_RNA from 1 species